AUCUCACUGAAAUAUUCCCUCAGCUCGUGAAUCUGGACGCUGACUACACACUUCCCGAAAUGCAGCCUCCGUCCCAUUGCAGCUGGCACGCCAUGCACCAGCAGUGCCAAGGCAACCAGGCUGCCUGCCUGCUGGAAUUUUGGAAUCCACAGGUUCCUGCUGUCAACACAAGACAAUAGGAUUGCAUCACCAGCAUCACUAGCAGGGCUCAUUCAGGAAGUGUGACUGCAGGUUAAGCAUAGCUAACAUGAAGGGAUGAAGCAAUGACAUCAGUACACUAGUUUCCCCAAAUUAAAAAUAUGCAAAUACAGAAACAGUUUCCACAUAUGUUGCCUAAAAAUCUGUCAACGUGGUCAUGAAAAUACUUGAAACAUUUAUUUUGUAA